UAGAGGCAGAGAUAUGGAAUGAACUUGUUGCAUAUUGGAGUACACCAGAGUGGAGAAAGAAAUCAGAAGCUGGUAAAGCAAAUAGAAACGUAGAAAAAGAUGGGACUAUUACGAAACACUCUGGUGGUUCAAUAAAAUUGGAGGUUCAUGAGAAUAGAUUGGCAAAGAAGUUGGGUAGACAACCAACUCAACUUGAACUAUUUCGUGCAACUCACACAAAAAAGGGGAGUCAAGGUGUUUACAUUGAUGGAAAAUCACGACGAGUUGAUGGAGCUUAUUUGAGUGCAAUUGCUGAAAAUGUGAAUGACAAUUGAACUCCAACUACAUCUUUCUCAUGCACAUCAGCUCAUCCUGGAGGACCUUCUCAAACUAUGUUUUCUUUAGAGGAGGUUGAACAAAUAUUAGAGCAAAACCGGAUCAAAAUGAAACAAGACAUGGAGCAAAUGCAAGAGCAAAUGCGAGUGCAGAUAGAAAAACAAA